CCGUGCGGUUAUAUUUCCUGCUUAUUUCGUUUCACAUUCAGCUGAGAACAUGUUUAUAUCUUUGAACAUUCUUCAUGAACCAGCAGUUCUCCGUUCCUGAGCAUGGAAACUUCUGCUUCUGGGUUCCUACGACAAGCAACACUGCAAAACAACAUCAACAAAUCCCCAACUUGAGCACGUGUCUCUUUGCUCACGUGCUAAUGGCUACUUCCGUCUCUGUAGAGUGAAUUCCUACAAGCAGGAUGGCUGAGACGAAGGUGCCCGAAGAAGUCCUGCUCGUCCUCGAGAUCAUAGUUCAUCUUUUUCAACGCCUGCCAGCCCUCCCAGUCACAUUUAACCUCGCCCCCAGCCCAGUCACGAGAGCUCCUGAGGGCCUUUGACUUGGCUGAGUUUUGGAAUCGUCUAUGGAAUUUCCUGUCCCCCCACCGGAUGUGAAGGAGGGAUGUGAGGAGGGCAGGGAGCCAUCCUCACUCACCUGUGAAUGCCCCGAGCACAGU